UAAGCGGAGGAAAAGAAACCAACAGGGAUUGCCCUAGUAGCUGCGAGCGAAGCGGCAACAGCUCAAAUUUGAAAUCCGCCCAUGUGUGGGCCGAGUUGUAAUUUGCAGAGGAUGCUUUGGGUGGGGCAGCUUUCAAGUUCUCUGGAACGAGACGCCACAGAGGGUGAGAGCCCCGUAGAAAAGGUGGCCUAGCCCGUGUAUAGCUCCUUCGACGAGUCGAGUAGUUUGGGAAUGCUGCUCUAAAUGGGAGGUAAAUUCCUUCUAAAGCUAAAUAUGUGCCGGAGACCGAUAGCGCACAAGUAGAGUGAUCGAAAGAUGAAAAGCACUUUGAAAAGAGAGUCAAACAGCACGUGAAAUUGUUGAAAGGGAAGCGCCUGUGACCAGACAUGGGCCGUGGCGAUCUCCCGCCGAUUUCGGCGGUGCACUCGGCGCGGCCCAGGCCAGCAUCGGUUUCGACGGGGGGAUAAAAGCGGAGGCAACGUAGCUCGUUGAGUGUUAUAGGCCGCGGCAGAAUACCCCCGUUGGGACCGAGGACAGCUAGGAUGCUGGCGUAAUGGUGACUGGCGACCCGUCUUGAA
rnacentral:rRNA from 1 species